rnacentral:rRNA from 1 species
UACAGAGGGUGCAAGCGUUAAUCGGAAUUACUGGGCGUAAAGGGCUUGUAGGCGGCCUUAUAAGUUAGAUGUGAAAACCCUGGGCUUAACCUGGGACGUGCAUUUAAUACUGUAAGGCUAGAGUAUGGUAGAGGAAAGGGGAAUUUCCGGUGUAGCAGUGAAAUGCGUAGAUAUCGGAAGGAACAUCAGUGGCGAAGGCGCCUUUCUGGACUAAUACUGACGCUGAGGAGCGAAGGCGUGGGGAGCAAACAGG